rnacentral:lncRNA from 1 species
AUUAAUCAACCAAGCUCCAGCAGAAGUACAAAAUGAAGCUUCAAUAACAGGAUAGCUUAUUCAUGUUUACAUCGAGCUUCAUUAACAGUAAAAUUAACCCUUUGCGUCUUUAACUAAAAUUAAGUCAAAAAUCAAAAUAUCUAGCCUGCAGACAUCACACAGCAACCCAUCUAGAAUUUUUUCAACACACCCAGUUACAUCUUAAUCAAAAAAUUUCUAGCAAUCUAUGACAGCAUUCUUCGUCAUCAAUCAGAACUGAAAUAUCCCGAUCAUAAGUUUAACCCAUUUUCGCCAGUAAUUAACUGCUAAGGAUAUUCCUAUAUAAAGUAUUGAGUGAUGAUACAGUUACAAACUCUUGUAUAAACUUAUCUUAUACAAACUGAUGUGUCAUUAAUUCAUUAGUUGAAUGAAAAUAUAAAAUAAUAGAAAUAAAUCAUAUGGGUCAAGAGAUAUUUAAUUCAACCAAUUUUAUCAUGCCACAUCAGUUUCUACAAAAUAAAUUUGUACAAGAGUUUGUAGCUAUAUCCUUACUCUAAAGUAUUAAUCCCUCCAAUCAAGCCUCGUAAUCAUCCAUCUUUCAUGUUUCAUAAUUUACCAUACAAUUAGUUGUCUUGUGAUUGUUUAUGUGACUCCUAGUACCUAAUUACGUCAAUUGUUCCACUUUCUGUAUUUAAAUACUUUCACAAUUAGCCCAAGAGUCUAGUUGAGUGGUUUUUAAAUAGUUUUAUUUGACUUGCUGCCUGAAUUCGAAUUAUUGAAAAGUAGGGGAUUAAUUCAUUAUGUAUCCCUCAAAUGAUCUUUACAGGAUGUAUCACAAAGUUGAUACACCAUGAAUCCCGUAUAUUCUGCUUAGAGGGUAUGUGUCCCUUACGAGUUACGAGAGACAACAGCUUACAUGUCCAAAUUUUAACAAAUAACUUCAAAAGAGUUAAUGGAAGUUACUUUUUCAAAUUCAAACACGUAAGUGCCAUGUAAUUGCCCAUAUGAAGGCAAGACUCCAUCUCAAAAAUUGUUGUUCCAAUACUCUAUCUACAAUACUAAAGUUUCACUUACAAUGUGUACAAUUAGAUGGUUUUGACAACUUGUAUUUUAUUGUAUUAUAUUGCAUUAAAAUAUUAUUCUUAUACUAACCUAUAUUUGACAGUAAUUUUUAAUUGCAUUGCACUACAUUAAAAAGGGGACUAAUACAAUAAAAGAUGUAUAAUCUAAUUAAACUCAUGGAGUUGGUAGGGUUUACAUUGUAUUGCAUUUAAAUAUU